rnacentral:rRNA from 1 species
AUAUCUCGGCUCUUGCAUCGAUGAAGAACGUAGCGAAAUGCGAUACUUGGUGUGAAUUGCAGAAUCCCGUGAACCAUCGAGUCUUUGAACGCAAGUUGCGCCCGAGGCCGCCAGGCCGAGGGCACGCCUGCCUGGGUGUCACGCAACGUCGCC